CACAUGCAAGUCGAACGAGGGGGAGUCUCUCCCCCUAGUGGCAAACGGGCGAGUAAUACAUAUUUAACCUACGUGUGCGAGGAGGAUAGCAUCCCGAAAGGGGUAUUAAUACUUCAUAGGUUUAUAGCGUUAAAUUAAAGGGCGCUCCCGAAAGGGGGCGCUGCGCAUACAUGGGAAUAUGUCCUAUUAGGUAGUUGGCGGGGUAAAUGCCCACCAAGCCUGUGAUGGGUAGCUGGGCUGAGAGGUUGUACAGCCGCAAUGGGAUUGAGAUAUGGCCCAUAUUCCUACGGGAAGCAGCAGUGAGGAAUUUUUCACAAUGGACGAAAGUCUGAUGGAGCAAUACCACGUGAACGAUGAAUGUCUUCUGAUUGUAAAGUUCUUUUAUUUAGGAUAAAAAGCAUGAUAGGAAAUGAUUAUGCCUUGAUAGUACUAAAUGAAUAAGUGACAGCUAACUAUGUGCCAGCAGCUGCGGUAACACAUAGGUCACGAGCAUUAUCCGGAUUUAUUGGGCGUAAAGGAAGCGUAGGCGGACAGUCUGAUCCAGUGUUAAAUGCAUCUGCUCAACAGAUGUAUGCAUUGGAGAUCACCUGUCUAGAAUUAGUUAGGGGGUACUGGAAUUCAAUGUGGAGCGGUGGAAUGCGUAGAUAUAUUGAGGAACACCAGAGGCUAAGGCGAGUACCUGGGACAUAAUUGACGCUGAGGCUUGAAAGCGUGGGGAGCAAAUGGGAUUAGAUACCCCAGUAGUCCACGCCGUAAACGAUGGGUAUUAGGUAUUUGGAGUGCUCUGAGUGCUGUAGCUAACGCGUUAAAUACCCCGCCUGGGUAGUAUAUAUGCAAAUAUGAAACUCAAAGAAAUUGACGGGGACCUGAACAAGUGGUGGAGCAUGUUGCUUAAUUCGAUAAUACACGAAAAACCUUACCAAGGCUUGUAAUCUUCUGCAAAGCUAUAGAAAUAUAGUGAGGCUAUCAGAAUGACAGGUGGUGCAUGGCUGUCGUCAGCUCGUGUCUUGAGAUGUUUGGUUAAGUCCCGUAACGAGCGCAACCCUACUCAUUAGUUA
rnacentral:rRNA from 1 species